rnacentral:rRNA from 1 species
CCUACGGGAUGCAGCAGUGAGGAAUAUUGGUCAAUGGACGAGAGUCUGAACCAGCCAAGUAGCGUGAAGGAUGAAUGCCCUAUGGGUUGUAAACUUCUUUUAUAUGGGAAUAAAACGUUCCACGUGUGGGAUUUUGUAUGUACCAUAUGAAUAAGGAUCGGCUAACUCCGUGCCAGCAGCCGCGGUAAUACGGAGGAUCCGAGCGUUAUCCGGAUUUAUUGGGUUUAAAGGGAGCGUAGGUGGAUUGUUAAGUCAGUUGUGAAAGUUUGCGGCUCAACCGUAAAAUUGCAGUUGAAACUGGCAGUCUUGAGUACAGUAGAGGUGGGCGGAAUUCGUGGUGUAGCGGUGAAAUGCUUAGAUAUCACGAAGAACUCCGAUUGCGAAGGCAGUUCACUGGACUGCAACUGACACUGAGGCUCGAAAGUGUGGGUAUCAAACAGGAUUAGAUACCCUAGUAGUC